UACGGGGGGGGCAAGCGUUGUUCGGAAUUACUGGGCGUAAAGGGCUCGUAGGCGGCCAACUAAGUCAGACGUGAAAUCCCUCGGCUUAACCGGGGAACUGCGUCUGAUACUGGAUGGCUUGAGUUUGGGAGAGGGAUGCGGAAUUCCAGGUGUAGCGGUGAAAUGCGUAGAUAUUCGCAAGAACACCAGUGGCGAAGGCGGCUCACUGGCCCGAUACUGACGCUGAGGUGCGAAAGCGUGGGGAGCAAACAGG
rnacentral:rRNA from 1 species